rnacentral:rRNA from 1 species
CCAAUAGCGUAUAUUAAAGUUGUUGCAGUUAAAAAGCUCGUAGUUGAACCUUAGGCCCGUGCGGGCGGUCCGUCCUCUGGGCGAGCACUGCUUCGUCGCGGGUCUCACCUUCUGGCGAGCGUGGAUGCCAUUUAUUUGGUGUCCGCGGGAACCAGGACCUUUACCUUGAAAAAAUUAGAGUGCUCAAAGCGGGCUCCGACGCUUGAAUACAUUAGCAUGGAAUAAUGAAAUAGGACGAUGGUUCUAUUUUGUUGGUUUCCGGGACGGUCGUAAUGAUUAA